UAUACACAAUCAUUUAUUCUUAUCUUAGGUUGAAAGAGUGGAGACAGUGAAUGUGAAUGUGAUUUCUUUUGGACUGUGGUUCAGGUGUUAGCUAGAAAAUCUUGGCUCUUCUACUUGCUCAAGAUCAUUCUUAAAAGUCCUUAAAUGCAAAUUAGUUUGUUUUCAGAGGUCUCCAAAGCCAAAUAAGGGAGAUUGCAGACCAAGCACAGUGCAGUGUUAGUGCUGCUGUGGGUACCAUUACAGUUCUGGAAUUCAUGAGCACUUGUGACCCCUUCCAAAUGUUUCUACUUUACUGAAUACUUGCCCUGCAUUAUGAGGAGUAUGUGUUUCUAUGCUACACACCCCCGUACUUGGCACUGGUGAAGCUGCACCUCAAAUCCUGUUUUCAGUUUUGGGCUUGUCAUUGCAAGAAAAUCAUUGAGCUGCUGGAGUGUGUCCAGAGAAGGGCAAGAGAGCUGGUGAAGAGUCUGGAGCACAGGCCUUCUGUGGAGUGGGGAGGGAGCUGUGGUGCUGAACCCGGGCAAAAGGAGGCUCAGAAGGGACCUUAUUGCUCUCUGCAACUGCCUGAAAGGAGGCUGUAGUGAGGUAAGGGUCAGUCUUUUCUCCUAGGGAAAAAGUGACAGGACAAGAACAAAUGCCCUCAAGUUGCACCAGGGGAGGGUUGGAUUGGAUAUUAGGAAAAAUCUUUUUGUGGAAAGGGUUGUCAAGCAUUGGCCUCCCUGGCUGGCCAGGAAAGUGGUGGAGUCACCAUCCCCAGAGUUACUUAAAAGCUGUGUAGAUGGGGCACUUGGGGCACACUGUUUAAUGGAGGGCUUGGCAGUGCUCAAUUAAUGGUUGGACUCAACCAUCUUACAGGUCUUUUCCACCCAAAUAGAUUCUGUGGUUCUAUGCAUACUUUGAAUUGAUGAGAAGCACACAGAUGCCCUUAGGGGAAGAGAAUUGCCAUCAGUUCUCCCCGUGGAAGACAUGAAUCAUCCUCAUCUGCUUUUCCCCUCACUGGGAGAAAGAAGUACUGAAAUUCAGCAUGACCCAAGCAUAGGGCAGACUGGGCCUGUGUAACACCAGGGAUGUGAUGUACACAGUUAUUCAUAGCAGCACCUGGACAGAAUGGAACAGGGGUCCAGCUGGCCCUUCCUCUGUGGCAACUCCUGCUUAAAGCAGGAGAAUGUCCCAAGAGGAGCCAGGGCUGCCCUGCGUGACAGUUGACAAAAAAACCGCAGACAUGGAAGACUGAAUUCUGUUGUUCUGCAGCAACAUGGACAUCUGCAAAUGAAGGUGCCAAGAACACAUUCAGGAGGCUGAGACCACUUAGAAGAUUCAAAAUUAACUCAUAUUGUAGAAAUAUUUAGGAAAAUGAUAAUUUGGAAGUAAACUAAAUGUAUUUUAAACAAAUGCAUUUUAAACUAAUGCAUUUUACACAAAAUGCAGUGUAAAUCCUUAACUUGCUAGACGAGUCAUGAGUUAGUGUGCUUAAAGAUCCAAAAAAACCCAUCAUUACAGAAAAAAAAAUAGCUCUACUCUGCUUGUUCCAAGGGCUCAAAACUGUGAACAAAUCCGUUUGGUAUUUAUUUUAAAUGUUCAGUUAUUUAAGUUUUGACUUGGGGAAAACAUGGUUCUGUAACAGCCAAACUAAUGACAGUCCUUUAUCGGAAAGGUUCUCUAAAACUCUUUGGUGUGUGAGAACUAAUACCAUGGCAACAAGAGGUUUGCUUUUGGCAGACUCUGAAGCAGCAUCCCUCAGUGCUCCCCGGGGAAUGAAGUGGGAGGUGACAGUGAUCAGGACUUUGGGAUGCUUAAGCAGAGAAAGAAUAGGAUGACGUUUGUAACUGAAAGGCAGCAGGCCUUCUCACAGCUGCUGUAUCAGGCAAGCCUCACAAAUCAAAACCCUCCUUCAGAUGCCCACAUUAUAUUUCUCUUGGCUAAGACUUUAAAAACUUUUAAAAGUUGCUUGAAUUAACAGCUGUCUUUGGCUGGGUUUUUCACCUUAGUUGUUUGUGUAUCUUCCUGGCCUCCUCUCUGGCUUCAUUUUAUUGCUGUGCGUGCUUUAACUUUCUCCAAUUACUUUUACACUUGCAUUUUUUGAAGCAAACCUAUGACUCCACAACUCAUCAUGCCCUCAUCCUCUCUUUAGAGAAUAGGAAAGCAAUGAAUUAUUUUCCAGCAUUGCAUACUACUGCUUUCCACCCUGUUAAAUUCAAGCACACCUUUCUACAAGACCACAGCCAACCAGAGGUUUCUUCUCACUAUUAAAAAAGUAUGAAGCAAUUGACUAGGGAAUGUUUCUGUCCAGCUAUCUGUCACUGUGAUGUCCUCUCCUCCAGAAACUUUGAAGAAAGAGAGAAAACUUUGGUACCUGCCUUUAACAAUACUGUAAAUAUCAGCCUGGGAGAGGGCAGGGGUGGCUCAGCUGUUGGCUGUAGUAGGUAAAGAACCAGAAUUAAGAAAAACACCUCCUCCUCUUGGUAUGAGAGUGGAAAGAACAAUGCAAAAUAAAAUAAAACUCAUUAUGAAUAUCCAAUUUUAAACAUUUAAUAGUGCACUUAUUGAGUAUAUUCUGUACAGACAUCAAUAGCAAGUUAAACAUUUUCCUUUCUCUCGCGUAGAUCAUACUCAUGUAAAGCACAUUUACAAUAGAAAACAUACUUGAGGUACAAAAACCCAAAAAGAAUAUCUGAGGUAUAAAUACAGGUAUAUUUUAAAUAAUCUUUAUCAUGCUUAAUCUAUGUUUGACAGUACACUGUGGGCAAGUAUACAUGUUUACAAUAAAACGGUAUGUACAACAUACAAUUUUACAAAUUCAAAA